rnacentral:snoRNA from 1 species
ACUGGGAUAUAUGUUGGAAAUACCUCACAGAGUAACAUCAUGGUUUUGCUUUACUCUAAGGACUAUUUGUUAGGUCUGUGAGAAGGAACUAUAAGAUAAUU